rnacentral:rRNA from 1 species
AUUGAACGCUGGCGGCAUGCUUUACACAUGCAAGUCGAACGGCAGCGCGGGCUUCGGCCUGGCGGCGAGUGGCGAACGGGUGAGUAAUACAUCGGAACGUGCCCAGUAGUGGGGGAUAGCUCGGCGAAAGCCGGAUUAAUACCGCAUACGACCUGAGGGUGAAAGCGGGGGAUCUUCGGACCUCGCGCUAUUGGAGCGGCCGAUGGCAGAUUAGCUAGUUGGUGGGUAAAGGCCUACCAAGGCCACGAUCUGUAGCUGGUCUGAGAGGACGACCAGCCACACUGGGACUGAGACACGGCCCAGACUCCUACGGGAGGCAGCAGUGGGGAAUUUUGGACAAUGGGCGAAAGCCUGAUCCAGCAAUGCCGCGUGUGUGAUGAAGGCCUUCGGGUUGUAAAGCACUUUUGGCGGGAACGAAAAGGACUGUGCCAAUACCACGGUUCGAUGACGGUACCCGCAGAAUAAGCACCGGCUAACUACGUG